ACCCCCGUCUACUUAAGCAUAUCAAUAAGCGGAGGAAAAGAAACUAACAAGGAUUCCCCUAGUAACUGCGAGUGAAGCGGGAAAAGCUCAAAUUUAAAAUCUGGUAGUGCUUCACUGCCCGAGUUGUAAUCUAGAGAAGUGUUGCUCACACUGGACCAUGUAUAAGUCUUCUGGAAUGAAGCGUCAUAGAGGGUGAGAAUCCCGUCUUUGACAUGGACUCCCAGUGUAAUUGUAGCAUGCUCUCAAAGAGUCGAGUUGUUUGGGAAUGCAGCUCUAAAUGGGUGGUAACCUCCAUCUAAAGCUAAAUAUUGGCGAGAGACCGAUAGUGAACAAGUACCGUGAGGGAAAGAUGAAAAGAACUUUGGAAAGAGAGUUAAACAGUACGUGAAAUUGUUGAAAGGGAAACGCUUGAAGUCAGUCACAUUAGCCAGGGAUCAACUUUCUUAAGUGUACUUCCUGGCUGAUGGGCCAAUAUCAGCUUUGACUGUCAGAGAAGGGUAGAGGGAAUGUGGCACCCUUCUUGGGUGUGUUAUAGACCUCUGUUAUAUAUGGCAGUUGGGGCUGAGGAAUGCAGCGCGCCGCAAGGCCGGGGCUUUGACCACGUCCGCGCUUAGGAUGUUGGCAUAAUGGCUUUAAUCGACCCGUCUUGAAACACGGACCAAGGAGUCUAACAUGCCUGCGAGUAUUUGGGUGGAAAAACCCGAGUGCAUAACGAAAGUGAAAGUUGAGAUCCCUGUCAUGGGGUGCAUCGACGCCCGGACCUGAGCUUUUUUAGCAAUGGCUCUGCGGUAUAGCAUGUAUGUUGGGACCCGAAAGAUGGUGAACUAUGCCUGAAUAGGGCGAAGCCAGAGGAAACUCUGGUGGAGGCUCGUAGCGAUUCUGACGUGCAAAUCGAUCGUCGAAUUUGGGUAUAGGGCGAAAGACUAAUCGAACCAUCCUAGUAGCUGGUUCCUGCCGAAGUUUCUCCUAGGAUAAAA
rnacentral:rRNA from 1 species